AGGACGAACGCUGGCGGCGUGCUUAACACAUGCAAGUCGAGCGGAAAGGCCCUUCGGGGUACUCGAGCGGCGAACGGGUGAGUAACACGUGAGUAAUCUGCCCCUAGCUCUGGGAUAGCUCCGGGAAACCGGGAUUAAUACCGGAUACGACCACCUUAGACAUCUUUUGUGGUGGAAAGAAUUUCGGCUAGGGAUGAGCUCGCGGCCUAUCAGCUUGUUGGUGGGGUAAUGGCCUACCAAGGCGACGACGGGUA
rnacentral:rRNA from 1 species